rnacentral:rRNA from 1 species
GACAGAGGUCCCGAGCGUUGUUCGGAUUCAUUGGGCGUAAAGGGUGUGUAGGAGGCUAGGUAAGUCAGGUGUGAAAUCUCAGAGCUUAACUCUGAAACUGCGCUUGAUACUGCUUAGCUAGAGGAUCGGAGGGGGUAACGGAAUUCAUGGUGUAGCAGUGAAAUGCGUAGAUAUCAUGAGGAACACCGGUGGCGAAGGCGGUUACCUGAAGAUUCCUGACUCUGAAACACGAAAGCCAGGGGAGCAAACGGG